rnacentral:rRNA from 1 species
UGAGGAAUAUUGGUCAAUGGCCGCAAGGCUGAACCAGCCAAGUAGCGUGCAGGAAGACGGCCCUCGGGUUGUAAACUGCUUUUAGUCGGGAAUAAAAGGGCGCACGUGUGCGUCGUAUUGCAAGUACCGUCAGAAAAAGGACCGGCUAAUUCCGUGCCAGCAGCCGCGGUAAUACGGAAGGUCCGGGCGUUAUCCGGAUUUAUUGGGUUUAAAGGGAGCGUAGGCGGUCUGGUAAGUCAGCUGUGAAAACGCGGGGCUCAACUCCGCGCCUGCAGUUGAUACUGUCGGACUUGAGUGCACGCAGGGGA